rnacentral:rRNA from 1 species
CAGGACGAACGCUGGCGGCGUGCCUAACACAUGCAAGUCGAACGAGAAUCUAUCGAAAGAUUCCUUCGGGAUGAAAUUGAUAGAGGAAAGUGGCGGACGGGCGAGUAACGCGUGAAUAACCUGCCCAUAAGAGGGGAUAAUCCAUGGAAACGUGGACUAAUACCGCAUAUUGAGAUUUAAUCGCAUGAUUUUAUCUUGAAAGAUUUAUCGCUUAUGGAUGGAUUCGCGUCUGAUUAGCUAGUUGGUGAGGUAACGGCUCACCAAGGCGACGAUCAGUAGCCGAACUGAGAGGUUGAUCGGCCGCAUUGGGACUGAGACACGGCCCAGACUCCUACGGGAGGCAGCAGUGGGGAAUAUUGGGCAAUGGGCGAAAGCCUGACCCAGCGACGCCGCGUGAGGGAAGACGGUCUUCGGAUUGUAAACCUUUGUUGAUAGGGACGAAACAAAUGACGGUACCUAUCGAGGAAGCCCCGGCUAACUACGUG